rnacentral:rRNA from 1 species
AACGAACGCUGGCGGCAUGCCUAACACAUGCAAGUCGAACGAGACCUUCGGGUCUAGUGGCGCACGGGUGCGUAACGCGUGGGAACCUGCCCUUAGGUUCGGAAUAACUCCCCGAAAGGGGUGCUAAUACCGGAUAAUGUCUUCGGACCAAAGAUUUAUCGCCUUUGGAUGGGCCCGCGUUGGAUUAGCUAGUUGGUAGGGUAUAAGCCUACCAAGGCGACGAUCCAUAGCUGGUCUGAGAGGAUGAUCAGCCACACUGGGACUGAGACACGGCCCAGACUCCUACGGGAGGCAGCAGUGGGGAAUAUUGGACAAUGGGCGAAAGCCUGAUCCAGCAAUGCCGCGUGAGUGAUGAAGGCCUUAGGGUUGUAAAGCUCCUUUACCCGGGAUGAUAAUGACAGUACCGGGAGAAUAAGCUCCGGCUAACUCCGUG